UGGGGAAUAUUGCACAAUGGGCGCAAGCCUGAUGCAGCCAUGCCGCGUGUGUGAAGAAGGCCUUCGGGUUGUAAAGCACUUUCAGCGGGGAGGAAGGCGAUAAGGUUAAUAACCUUGUCGAUUGACGUUACCCGCAGAAGAAGCACCGGCUAACUCCGUGCCAGCAGCCGCGGUAAUACGGAGGGUGCAAGCGUUAAUCGGAAUUACUGGUCGUAAAGCGCACGCAGGCGGUCUGUCAAGUCGGAUGUGAAAUCCCCGGGCUUAACCUGGGAACUGCAUUCGAAACUGGCAGGCUAGAGUCUUGUAGAGGGGGGUAGAAUUCCAGGUGUAGCGGUGAAAUGCGUAGAGAUCUGGAGGAAUACCGGUGGCGAAGGCGGCCCCCUGGACAAAGACUGACGCUCAGGUGCGAAAGCGUGGGGAGCAAACAGG
rnacentral:rRNA from 1 species